rnacentral:rRNA from 1 species
UGGGGAAUAUUGGACAAUGGGCGAAAGCCUGAUCCAGCCAUGCCGCGUGUGUGAAGAAGGUCUUCGGAUUGUAAAGCACUUUAAGUUGGGAGGAAGGGCAGUAAGCGAAUACCUUGCUGUUUUGACGUUACCGACAGAAUAAGCACCGGCCAACUCUGUGCCAGCAGCCGCGGUAAUACAGAGGGUGCAAGCGUUAAUCGGAAUUACUGGGCGUAAAGCGCGCGUAGGUGGUUCGUUAAGUUGAAUGUGAAAGCCCCGGGCUCAACCUGGGAACUUCAUCCAAAACUGGCGAGCUAGAGUAGGGCAGAGGGUGGUGGAAUUUCCUGUGUAGCGGUGAAAUGCGUAGAUAUAGGAAAGAACACCAGUGGCGAAGGCGACCACCUGGGCUCAUACUGACACUGAGGUGCGAAAGCGUGGGGAGCAAACAGG